CCUACGGGAGGCAGCAGUAGGGAAUAUUGCUCAAUGGGGGAAACCCUGAAGCAGCAACGCCGCGUGGAGGAUGAAGGUUUUCGGAUUGUAAACUCCUUUUGUUAGAGAAGAGAAUGACGGUAUCUAACGAAUAAGCACCGGCCAACUCCGUGCCAGCAGCCGCGGUAAUACGGAGGGUGCAAGCGUUACUCGGAAUCACCGGGCGUAAAGGGCGCGUAGGCGGGAUAGCAAGUCAGAUGUGAAAUCCUAUGGCUUAACCAUAGAACUGCAUUUGAAACUGUUAUUCUAGAGUAUGGGAGAGGUAGGUGGAAUUCUUGGUGUAGGGGUCAAAUCCGUAGAGAUCAAGAGGAAUACUCAUUGCGAAGGCGACCUGCUAGAACAUAACUGACGCUGAUGCGCGAAAGCGUGGGGAGCAAACAGGAUUAGAUACCCCUGUAGUC
rnacentral:rRNA from 1 species